AGAGUUUGAUCAUGGCUCAGGACGAACGCUGGCGGCGUGCCUAAUACAUGCAAGUCGAGCGGACCGAAAGGAGAGCUCGCUCUCCUUUCAGUCAGCGGUGGACGGGUGAGUAACACGUGGGUAACCUGCCUGUAAGACCGGGAUAACUCGCGGAAACGCGAGCUAAUACCGGAUAGGUCCCGUGGCCGCAUGGCGACGGGAGGAAAGAUGGCGCGAGCUAUCGCUUACAGAUGGGCCCGCGGCGCAUUAGCUAGUUGGUGGGGUAACGGCCCACCAAGGCGACGAUGCGUAGCCGACCUGAGAGGGUGAUCGGCCACAUUGGGACUGAGACACGGCCCAAACUCCUACGGGAGGCAGCAGUAGGGAAUCUUCCGCAAUGGGCGAAAGCCUGACGGAGCAACGCCGCGUGAGCGAAGAAGGCCUUCGGGUCGUAAAGCUCUGUUGUCAGGGAAGAACAAGUACCGGAGUAACUGCCGGUACCUUGACGGUACCUGACCAGAAAGCCCCGGCUAACUACGUGCCAGCAGCCGCGGUAAUACGUAGGGGGCGAGCGUUGUCCGGAAUCAUUGGGCGUAAAGCGCGCGCAGGCGGUCCCUUAAGUCUGAUGUGAAAUCUUGCGGCUCAACCGCAAGAGGUCAUUGGAAACUGGGGGACUUGAGUGCAGGAGAGGGAAGCGGAAUUCCAUGUGUAGCGGUGAAAUGCGUAGAGAUAUGGAGGAACACCAGUGGCGAAGGCGGCUUCCUGGCCUGUAACUGACGCUCAGGCGCGAAAGCGUGGGGAGCAAACAGGAUUAGAUACCCUGGUAGUCCACGCCGUAAACGAUGAGUGCUAGGUGUUGGAGGGGUUUACCCUUCAGUGCUGGAGCUAACGCAUUAAGCACUCCGCCUGGGGAGUACGCCGCAAGGCUGAAACUCAAUGAAUUGACGG
rnacentral:rRNA from 1 species